CCUACGGGAGGCAGCAGUGAGGAAUAUUGGUCAAUGGGAGAGAUCCUGAACCAGCCAAGCCGCGUGAGGGAAGACGGCCCUAUGGGUUGUAAACCUCUUUUGUCGGAGAACAAACCCCGGGACGUGUCCCCGACUGCGUGUAUCCAAAGAAAAAGCAUCGGCAAACUCCGUUCCAGCAGCCGCGGUAAUACGGAGGGUGCGAGCGUUAUCCGGCUUUAUGGGGUUAAAAGGGUGCGUGGGCGGUCCGUUAAGUCAGCGGUAAAAUUGGGGGGCUCAACCCCGUCGAGCCGUUGAAACUGGCAGACUUGAGUUGGCGAGAAGUACGCGGAAUGCGCGGUGUAGCGGUGAAAUGCAUAGAUAUCGCGCAGAACACCAAUUGCGAAGGCAGCGUACCGGCGCCCAACUGACGCUGAAGCACGAAAGCGUGGGUAGCGAACAGGAUUAGAUACCCGGGUAGUC
rnacentral:rRNA from 1 species